rnacentral:misc_RNA from 1 species
CAGAGUUCUCGCCCUCACGGGUAGAUCUCCCACCCACUGUUAUCGUUACUAUCGUUGCUUUGGCGGGUCGCCGGGUCCUGCCCAGCCCCCGGCUUCGGUUGGGGCGUGCCUGCCAGAGGCCCUACAAACUCUGAAUGUUAGUGUCGUCUGAGUACUAUAUAAUAGUUA